rnacentral:rRNA from 1 species
CACUCCUGCGGGAGGCAGCAGUGGGGAAUUUUGGACAAUGGGCGAAAGCCUGAUCCAGCCAUGCCGCGUGCAGGAUGAAGGCCUUCGGGUUGUAAACUGCUUUUGUACGGAACGAAACGGCCUUUUCUAAUAAAGAGGGCUAAUGACGGUACCGUAAGAAUAAGCACCGGCUAACUACGUGCCAGCAGCCGCGGUAAUACGUAGGGUGCAAGCGUUAAUCGGAAUUACUGGGCGUAAAGCGUGCGCAGGCGGUUAUGUAAGACAGUUGUGAAAUCCCCGGGCUCAACCUGGGAACUGCAUCUGUGACUGCAUAGCUAGAGUACGGUAGAGGGGGAUGGAAUUCCGCGUGUAGCAGUGAAAUGCGUAGAUAUGCGGAGGAACACCGAUGGCGAAGGCAAUCCCCUGGACCUGUACUGACGCUCAUGCACGAAAGCGUGGGGAGCAAACAGGAUUAGAUACCCCGGUAGUCCCAUGAU